AUGAUGCAGGAACAUUUCAUUCUGUUAUUAAGUUAUUCAGCUCGUAAUUCACUUUUCUUCUCGUCGAUGCUUAUAGAGAACGUUUUAUGAUGAUGAUGAUGAUUUAAUAUAUAGAAACACGAGCCUGUCAUCGCAUACGUCACUCGCAUACAUAUAUAUGUAUUGAUUGAUACAGAGCAUCAUCAUCAUCAUCAUCAUCAUCCUCUGAUGAAGGCUCAGGAGGUGUUGGAGGAUGCUGUGGGCAGACGGGUCAGCUGUGAUGGAGAGAGAGAAACUGUCCUGUUAUGUGGGUCCGGUUCCUCCCACCGCAGGUCUGUGGUUGGGAGUGGAGUGGGAUGAUCCAGAGAGAGGAA